CCUGAUUAAUCAUUUUUACCAUAACAUAUACACUACUGUUAGAAUCCAUAUUCUACUAUUUUCUAAAAUUGCAAAAAAAACCAAUCCAUUAUAGAUUUCCCCCACUUUACAAAGUAGAGAAUUUCUUUCAUAAACUGAAAAACUGUGAAGUGAAAAAGCAAAUCCAUUAAUUUAUAUGGGAAAAAUUUUUGAGCAUUCCCAGACCCAAAAAUUUAACCUGCAAAAUUAUACCAAAUAACAUAUAAAACCUAAAAUAAAAUUAAUGUUUAGUAAAUGCAGGAAUGAUAAAGUAAAUGCACAUUCUAUAUAAUAUAAAAAUAAUGUAUGUACACUAUAGUUUCACUUACAGUGCCACUUAUAUUUUUAGUGAAGCCACUGUAUCAAACACAGGAUAUAUUCUCUCUGAUAACAGUGAUUUUUAGAGACCAUCACAGACUGGUUACUACCCAUGAUGGGGUUAACCAGAAGGUUGGAGGAUGGGAUUCAAUGACCCAGAACAGAACUACUAUUGAAAAAUUGGAGGUGUGUUAAGCUACUGUAUUAUAAUGCAGUCAUCUGGCAGACUUCUUUUUCGUAAAAGCAAAAAUCCUCUUUGAAUUUCUUUUAGUUAACAAAAACAAUGUAGUCUUUUAUAAAAGUGAAAUGGCAUAAGCAAACUUUUGUAAAUCAAGGGAAAAACCUGUAC
rnacentral:lncRNA from 1 species